rnacentral:misc_RNA from 1 species
AAAGUCGUAACAAGGUUUCCGUAGGUGAACCUGCGGAAGGAUCAUUAACAAAUCCAAAUUUAAACCCGAGGACCCAUGUUGUCUGAUGGGAGUGUGCGGCUGGGUUGCUGUAAUGGCGCCCGGUCGAGCCUCCCAGCAGUUUUUACAAACGUGAUGUUGUCGUCAUUCAUAUUGGGGCAAGUCUUCGGAUGCGCUCUGUAUAAAAAUAAUAGCAUCACUUUUAACGGUGGAUCUCUCGGCUCGU